rnacentral:rRNA from 1 species
UACGGGGGGAGCAAGCGUUGUUCGGAUUUACUGGCGUAAAGGGCGCGUAGGCGGUCAGCACAAGUCAGUUGUGAAAUCUCCGGGCUUAACUCGGAAAGGUCAACUGAUACUGUGCGACUAGAGUGCGGAAGGGGCAACUGGAAUUCUCGGUGUAGCGGUGAAAUGCGUAGAUAUCGAGAGGAACACCUGCGGCGAAGGCGGGUUGCUGGGCCGUGACACUGACGCUGAUGCGCGAAAGCCAGGGGAGCGAACGGGAUUAGA